AUUGAACGCUGGCGGCAGGCCUAACACAUGCAAGUCGAACGGUAACAGGGAUCAGCUUGCUGAUUCGCUGACGAGUGGCGGACGGGUGAGUAAUGUCUGGGAAACUGCCUGAUGGAGGGGGAUAACUACUGGAAACGGUAGCUAAUACCGCAUAACGUCGCAAGACCAAAGAGGGGGACCUUCGGGCCUCUUGCCAUCGGAUGUGCCCAGAUGGGAUUAGUUAGUAGGUGGGGUAACGGCUCACCUAGGCGACGAUCCCUAGCUGGUCUGAGAGGAUGACCAGCCACACUGGAACUGAGACACGGUCCAGACUCCUACGGGAGGCAGCAGUGGGGAAUAUUGCACAAUGGGCGCAAGCCUGAUGCAGCCAUGCCGCGUGUAUGAAGAAGGCCUUCGGGUUGUAAAGUACUUUCAGCGGGGAGGAAGGGAGUAAAGUUAAUACCUUUGCUCAUUGACGUUACCCGCAGAAGAAGCACCGGCUAACUCCGUG
rnacentral:rRNA from 1 species